AUUGAACGCUGGCGGCAAGCCUAACACAUGCAAGUCGAACGAGUGGCGGACGGGUGAGUAAUGCCCGGGAAACUGCCUGAUGGAGGGGGGUAACUACUGGAAACGGUAGCUAAUAACGCAUAUCAUCUGAUGUGCCCAGAUGGGGUUCGCUAGGAGGUGGGGUAAAGGCUCGCCUAGGCAACGAUCCCUAGCUGGUCUGAGAGGAUGACCAGCCACCCUGGAACGGAGACACGGUCCAGACUCCUACGGGAGGGAACAGUGGGGAGUAUUGCACAAUGGGCGCAAGCCUGAUGCAGACCUGCCGCGUGUAUGAAGAAAGCCUUCGGGUUGUAAAGUACUUUCAGUGGUGAGGCGUUACCCUAAGAAGAAGCACCGGCUAACUCCGUGCCAGCAGCCGCGGUAAUUC
rnacentral:rRNA from 1 species